AGAGUUUGAUCCUGGCUCAGGACGAACGCUGGCGGCGUGCUUAACACAUGCAAGUCGAACGGUGAACCUGCUUCGGUGGGGGAUCAGUGGCGAACGGGUGAGUAACACGUGGGCAACCUGCCCUCAGCUCUGGGAUAACUCCAAGAAAUUGGGGCUAAUACUGGAUAUGACCGCUGACCGCAUGGUCUGGUGGUGGAAAGAUUUAUCGGCUGGGGAUGGGCCCGCGGCCUAUCAGCUUGUUGGUGGGGUAGUGGCCUACCAAGGCGACGACGGGUAGCCGGCCUGAGAGGGUGACCGGCCACACUGGGACUGAGACACGGCCCAGACUCCUACGGGAGGCAGCAGUGGGGAAUAUUGCGCAAUGGGCGAAAGCCUGACGCAGCGACGCCGCGUGGGGGAUGACGGCCUUCGGGUUGUAAACCUCUUUCAGCAGGGACGAAGCGAAAGUGACGGUACCUGCAGAAGAAGCACCGGCCAACUACGUGCCAGCAGCCGCGGUAAUACGUAGGGUGCAAGCGUUGUCCGGAAUUAUUGGGCGUAAAGAGCUCGUAGGCGGUUUGUUGCGUCGGCUGUGAAAACCUGAGGCUCAACCUCAGGCCUGCAGUCGAUACGAGCAGACUAGAGUGUUGCAGGGGAGACUGGAAUUCCUGGUGUAGCGGUGAAAUGCGCAGAUAUCAGGAGGAACACCGGUGGCGAAGGCAGGUCACUGGGCCGCAACUGACGCUGAGGAGCGAAAGCAUGGGGAGCGAACAGGAUUAGAUACCCCAGUAGUCC
rnacentral:rRNA from 1 species